rnacentral:lncRNA from 1 species
ACCAUCGACGCGUCGCUCAGCAUGGUCAUGGGCGACGACAUGGUGAAGGUCAUCGCCUGGUACGACAACGAGUGGGGAUACUCGCAGAGGGUCGUCGACCUCGCCGACAUCGUCGCCAACCAGUGGAAGUGAGAACGUAGAAGCUGCUGCUGCUGCUGCCUUUGUAACUCCACCUCGCUCCAAAAAUUUUCCCCAGACUUCUUCCUUCUUCCUCUCGAUCCUUUGUAAUGAGAAUUUCGAAGUUUCGAGCGCCCAACACAGUUUCUUGUUUCU